GAAUAUAGGACAAUGGGGGGAACCCUGAUCCAGCCAUGCCGCGUGUGUGAAGAAGGCCUUUUGGUUGUAAAGCACUUUAAGCGAGGAGGAGGCUACCUAGAUUAAUAAUCUAGGAUCGUGGAUGUUACUCGCAGACUAAGCACGCGCCAACUCUGUUGCUGCCGCCGCGGUAAUACAGAGGGUGCAAGCGUUAAUCGGAUUUACUGGGCGUAAGGCGCGCGUAGGUGGCCAAUUAAGUCAAAUGUGAAAUCCCCGAGCUUAACUUGGGAAUUGCAUUCGAUACUGGUUGGCUAGAGUAUGGGAGAGGAUGGUAGAAUUCCAGGUGUAGCGAUGAAAUGCGUAGAGAUCUGGAGGAAUACCGAUGGCGAAGGCAGCCAUCUGGCCUAAUACUGACACUGAGGUGCGAAAGCAUGGGGAGCAAACA
rnacentral:rRNA from 1 species